rnacentral:rRNA from 1 species
GACGAACGCUGGCGGCGUGCUUAACACAUGCAAGUCGAACGAUGAAGAAAAGAAUUGAAGCUUCGGCAGAAAUUCAUUUCGGAUUAGUGGCAGACGGGUGAGUAACGUGUGAGCAACCUCCCCUUUACAAAGGGAUAGCCCCGGGAAACCGGGACUAAUACCAUAUAACAUUGCGACGAAGCAUUUCGAUGCAAUCAAAGCUACGGCGGUAAGAGAUGGGCUCGCGUCCCAUUAACCAGAUGGUGAGGUAACGGCUCACCAUAGUAACGAUGGCUAACCGGCCGGGGAAGGGGAACGGUUGCACUGGAGGUAAGACACGGUCCAGACUCCUACGGGAGGCAGGAGUGGGGAAUAUUACACAAUGAAGGGAACUCUAAUACAGCGGCGCCGGGUGAGUGAUGAAGGGAUUCGUUUCGUGAAUCUCUGUUCGAUGAGGAGAAAGGGACUGUACCAUAGGAAAAAGCGCCGGCUAAAUACGUG